AGUGAACGCUGGCGGUGGGCUUAACACAUGCAAGUCGAACGGCAAGGCAGUGCUUGCUUGCGCUGAUCGGUGGCGAACGGGGGACGUAACAGGAAAAUAUCCGACCCUACUUUUUGGUGUAGCAUCAGGAAGGGGGACUUACGCUAGUAUCGAAUAACCCCUGCAGGGGGAGGCGGUGGAAAGUUUCAGCGGUGGUGGAUGGACUCGCGGCUUAUCAGCUUGUUGGUGGGGUAGUGGCCUACCAAGGCAGGGACGGGUAGCCGGCCUGAGAGGGUGACCGGCCACAAUGGGACUGAGAGACGGCCCAGACUCCUACGGGAGGCAGCAGUGGGGAAUAUUGCACAAUGGGCGCAAGCCUGAUGCAGCGACGCCGCGUGUGGGAUGACGGCCUUCGGGUUGUAAACCGCUUUCGGCUGAGACGAAGCGGGAGUGACGGUACCGGGAGAAGAAGCACCGGCUAACUACGUG
rnacentral:rRNA from 1 species